UAAAAUGUUUGUAUGUAAUUCACUUUUAGGUAAUUCUAUCUCUUAGGAAAUAUUGUCUUCUCCAGUGCUCAGCCAGUAAUUCUCCAGAUAAGCUACUGGUUUCCUCUGGAUGUCCACAGUCCUGUUUGGGGACCCCAGCCACAGGCAUGGAGACAUUUAGUUAUUUAGGAGAAUGUGAAAUGGCUGCACUUGCUUCUCUGUUCAGGCGAGAAAUUGGAAUCCAAUUUCUCGGAAUGAAAACGAUGUACUAUUUUUAAAUACAAUGGCUUUGAAGAAUCUGUAUUAUGUUCUUAUACUUAUCUCUGGAUCAUCUUGGCUAAGAUAACUACAGGAUACUGAGUGAGGUUUGAAGCAUCCUGAAUUCUCUGUUGUGUCCAUAUUUUGCUUUAGGGGCUUGUACUAUGAUUUUUAUCUCUUACUUUUUCACAUUCUCCAAAAUUGACUUUAUGGUUUUUCAUCUAUUGUUUUUUUGUCCAUUCCCUUAUGCUAUUCUCUUGUCCACUGCUUAGUAAAUUCCACACUCAGGAUGUUUUUAUUCUGAUAUUUUGUUUUAGGGGGUCAAUUUAAGUAGCAGCUUUAUUGGGCACUACAUACUUAUGCAACCCAUAAUUGCUGAUCUUUUUCUUCCUUGAAAUAAAUACUUUUAUGAUAGAUUCACUCUCUCUCUUCUCCCACCUCUUACACACACACACACACACACACACACACACACACACUUUAACACUCUAACAAAGGCACAUCUUUCUACACGAUAUUCUAGAUACAGUCUUGGAGCAGGAUGGAUUAAUUUGGACUAGGGAGAAAAAGAAAAAUACAUUAAGUUUUUGCACUUUUACACUGCUGGAGACAAUGGCGAAAACCUGAAGAGUCAUAUGAAGAAAUAUUACACAGGUUUUUUUUUCUUUUUUUUCCAGGAAAUUAUAGCAUAUGGCAGACACAGAAACCAUCACAAACCAAAGCAGGAAAUAACAAAGUCAAAUCAAUGGUGGAAGCAGAAAGGGGUUCUACAAAUCUUUCAGCUGAGGAAGUCGUGGUGAAGAGUGAGAGAAAGUGAGCUUCAAGACUGGGAAAGAAUGUAAGUCUCUUUUUUUUCCUUUCCAACUCUUAUUUCAAGUUCAAGGGAUACAUGUGCAGGUUUGUUACAUGGGUAAAUUGGAUGUCAUGAGGGUUUGGUAACCAGAUUAUUUCAUGACUCAGCUAAUAAGCAUAGUACCCUAUAGAUAACUUUUUGAUCUUCACCCUCCUUCCGUGCUCCACCCUCAAAUAGACCCUAGUGUCUUUUCUUCCCUUCUUUGUGUCCACAUGUACUCACAGGUUUGCUUCCACUUACAAGCAAUAACAUAUAGUAUUUGGUUUUCUGUUUCUGUGAUAAUUCACUUACGAUAAUGUCCUCCAGCUGAAUUCAUGUAGCUGUGAAGGACAUGAUUUUAUUCUUUUUUAACAGCUGCAUAGUAUUCCAU
rnacentral:lncRNA from 1 species